CCUGGAGGCCGACAUAGAGAAAGAGUUCCAGCUGCGAUGAGAGUGCUGCAGAGUUAUUAAAGAGACCUAGAGCUCCAAGAAUGAAGAAAGAAACUACUUCUCCUCCUUGGACUGAUAGAAAGGGGGGAGAAGUAUUUCUGUAAAUACAUAGUACUUUUACUUGAGUAAAAUUAUUAUAGAUGUAGUUCUUUAGUUUUAGUUUGCUAGCAAUAAAUGUUCAUAUUAUUUUCCCCAAUCAGGUCUCUUUUGUCUGCGUAAACCUUCUCUCAACUUAUAGUAAUUGUGUGGAGGGUGAAAGCAAAUUGAUCCAGAGCAAAACCACGACACUCUAUUACUUAAAAUAACAUGAGGUCAAAUAGUAUUAAAAUAUAUUUUCCUGAAUCAACAGCAUUAAUUGUACAUCUAUAUAAAAUACAAAAAUAAGUAUAUGGACUAUGGAUGAAGCUUCCUCACUUAAAAUUUCCACUCUAAAAAGAUAGACAAAACUGUCUGAAAAACGUGAGUGACAUGAUGAAAAAAGUCACAGCACGUUUUUGGGUAGCAGCUAAACUUUUAUUUUAAAAACACUGAGACCAGGACAGCACCUUUUCUUUCUUUAUGGAGGAUCUAAUUCUAGUUUUUCAACAACCCUGAUGACUAAACUGUUUCAAAAUUGAGAUCAGUCAUGUUUCUUGCAUGGCCCCUGAACAGGUACUCUUUCCCAAUACAGCUGUGGACUUAGUGCACUUGACAGAAGAUGAAGAGUGCAAUCCUGGUUAUUUUUUCUUUUUCUUUUUUUUUUUUUUAAUUAGUCAUCAUGUCAACCCAAUGUUUGGGGUUUUUUCUGAAGUCUUCAUUAAGUAAUCAGGUAUUUCCUGGUCUGGGUCAGCCUGAGGUAGGAAGAAUUUCAGUAUGUUUUCAUUUGUGGGAGUUUUUCCUUACAGAGAAAUGUGGAUAUAUUUUUUAACACGGAGUUGGCAUCAGGCUUGGGGCAGAUUAAUCACCAGGAAAGAGGGAAUGGGUGGACGACUAAAUGGUCUUUCUCUCUCCCUCUGUUCCCUUUCCCCUGCCCCUGUAUUCCUGCCCUGUUUGGUGCUGGCCCAGUGCAGGGGUUCAAGACCUUUCAUUAAUAUUAGGGCUGCAUCCAGCCCUAGUAGCUGAGACCUUUCCUCUUUAAAAAACAGCAGCAAAGCAAGGAGAUUUUUCAGUUCUUUCUUUCCUUGCCACCAGGGCCCUCUGGUGCAGGCAUGUGUAGAGUGAGACAAACUGAACAUUGGGCUGUAGAUACAGAAACUUCUGAGAUAUAACAGUUCUGUGCUUUUAUACUUAUCAAAGCAGUGGCUGUGGAGGACUUCUGAAUGAGAAGGACAAUAAAAAAAUAAGGAAUCAAAGUCCAUCUGCAUCAAAGGGAUACCUUCACAUUCAGACCUCGACACACAGUUACUACAACUUCCCCAGAUACCGGAGAAGUAGGUCUUACUUCUCAUUCACUACCCUGCCAGUGAGACCAUUUGGGUUUUUUUCCUCCUCCUCCAAAACAUGAAGUUCUCUCGCAGCUUCUGAGCCCCUGUGAGGUGAUGUCCACAGAUGCCACUUCCUCCUUGAGAGGAGGAACUUGCUAUCACACCUGCCUCUGCACAAAAGCAGGUAUCUGCCCUCAGGUCCACAGGUGCCUAGCUGCUGGGUGGCUUUCAGCAACCGAAGCAUGCCACCAUCCUUCCUCCCCUCUCCAGCAUACACACAUGCUAACCCAUUCCCUAACACCAUUACCCUCCAGGAAAUACUAGGGCACACUUCUUGUGGCCAGAUCCACACCCCAGCCCUGCUGCAGGCACAUACACGUGUUAUUUUUACAUAGGUGCAAUCUCACACUGCUUGUGCUGUACUGGACCAGUGGCUGCACAAGAGCUGGUGAGCACCAAGGAGGAGAGGGCACGGUGCACACAGCUUUGGCACAACACCAUGCACUGCAGCUGGGCAGCUCCUGCUUACCAGCACCAGCAGGAGACUGAACUCUGAAAAAGAGGAAGGCUGGUAUCCAAACAGAAAUCUAAUAGAGAAGCCCUCUAUCAGAGCUGACAAACGUCUGCUAGAUGUGUUCAUUGAUCAUUAUUUAUAAUUCCUACCCUUCUGGUAGAGUUCAGUGCAGGCACAGAUCUCCUCCCAGACAUGAUCAUAGCUCUGCUGUCCAGAGGCGUGAAAAGAAGCAGUGGAACUUGACCUCACAGGAUGUGUUUCAAACACCUCGUGUUCCAGGAGAUCCUCCAUCCCUCUCUCUCCUGUCUGAGACCUUGUGUCAAAUCAUAUUAAAUGCAGACAAAAGAUUCACAAGGCCAAUGAGGCAGCAGCAAGCCAGACCCCAUCCUGCAGUGAGUCAAGGUCAAUUCAGAGCAUCUAGCCUCUGCCGCACCGCUCCUUACUGCUUCUCCUGGAUUUGGGACAGUUCUCUGCUGCCCUCUCUCCAAGGUGAAAAUAUAGAAAUGGACUUGCCUGUUAUAACAUAAGGAGGAAAUACAGCAGAUAAGAAAGAGUAUGAAACUGGUUUUUUUCCCUGAGAUUUACAGAGAGGAAGGACUACCUCUCUCCUUUCCUGUCACCCCUUACCCUUAAUGAGUGGUGAUCAAAAUCAAACAUAUUGUAUUUGGUGAGAAAGUGGAAAAAACCAAGGAGAAUGAUCUUUUUUUUUUUCCAUUGUAUCAGUGAGCUGCAAAGCCAUUUUUACUUCUGCUAGUAGUGAUAAUGGCUUGCUCCCAAGCAUUCCAGAAAAAUUACCUGCUAUGGCAAGCUUUGAAAGAAUGGUUUCUUUGUGAAGUAUCUGGCAUGGGGAAAAGGUCUGAAAACAGGGAUCAUAAAAGAAAACUUAUUUCACUGGUACAUACAUUUUAAAGAAAAAGACCAUAAUUGUCUAAUAUUUCUAAGAGUAUCAUCAAAAUCAAAUCCAUUAAAUUAUUUAAAAUAUUGUAAAGCCAACCUCAGCUGUAAAGCCUACACAUCCUCUUUCUGACUUUUGCAAUGUGAGGUGAGUUCUCGCUCAAAUGUUUUCUGAGACCCACAAAAGUAAUGAUGAAUGUUAAAUAGGAACUAGGGAGAUUAAAUGUAUACAGAGUACUGACAAAUCCCAGGUUAAAUAAAAUUAGUAGCUGUAGUUAUAGUAGUACAAAAGUAAUUUUUAAAACACACAUGUAAUCUUGCAGGAGUUUUUUUUAAUUGCCACUUCUAUCAGAAGUAUAAUUUAAAAAGCAUAGUCAUGUUUUAGCAAUUAUUAGCGUCAGCAAAAUUUUGUUGACAGGAAUUCCAGCAAAGCCUUGAUAGGAAUUAUAAGGGUGUUAAGAAUAGGAGUUUUAUAGGACUCUUUAUCACCUGUUUCAAUGAUAACCUCCUUGCUUCACGCAUUAGUUUAUGUCAUCUUACAGAGGCAGAGCACUGUUGUUACACCAUUUUUACAGAUGAGGGUACCAGACCUGCUCAAAUUUCACCGGAAAAAGGUGGCAAGACCCCAGCACACCUGACAGUCUGUCACACCUGCAGCUCCUUCAUGCACCUGCAGUAGGAGUGAAUGAGGAGAGCUUCCUUGGCAGAUGCAGGCCAGCCCUGUAGGGUACAUUCAGUGAAUAAGAUGCAAUUAGGACAAAGGAAUGUGAGGUGUAAGAGGUGCCUCAAGCCUGCUGUGGAUGCAAAAACAGACCUGAUCUGUGAGUAUACAUUGCCAUUUUUCCAAGGAGGCUGGGUGGCAAGCAACCUAGACAGAGCUGUCCUGCAGCACAUCCUCAAAAUAUGAAAAAAUGGCAUUAUAUCACCAUAAUCAAGAGAACCUGAGAAGCUAGAACCAAAAUAGAGACACUCAGUAACCGCUCCCUGGGGCACAUUGUGCCCUACCAACUUGUACCUUGCUACUGGAGUACCUCUCUUUAUCUUUGAAGCACAGGUCUGAACCCUGAUCACAUUAAAAGAAGAGCAGUUCUGAACAAUCCCUUUGAAACAAAUUCCAGGGCUGAUUUUGACCUGGUGAAGUUCAGAGAUUUUGACUUAGGUGACCUUCAGAGCUUUCAAAUAUGUAUGGAAGUGUUCAAGCUGCCUUUUGAAACUGCUGAACUGAGAAAGACAGGGGAAAAUAUCUCUGUGGCACCUUAGUAAUGGGUCUUUAAUGAAUUCAGGCAUAAAUACAUGAUACACAAAUCUGAGGCAACUUUUCUCUAGAGAUUUCAAUUUCCCUGGAAGAGUCCAAUAAAUAAAUUAAAAUAACUUUAAAUUAAAUCACUUUAAGUCACAUUAACUCUAGAGAUUUUGAAUGAAGGUCCAUCAGCUUAGCUCCUUUCUUCUGUUGUUUCAAUUUCAUCCAAAGCUUUUGUUUCCAGGGAUCUACUUUAGGCUUAACGUGGUUUUCAUAAAAGUAAUAAAAAAACUUAUGAAUACUGCUGCAUGUUUUUGGUAUAGGAGGCAAUAUUUAGUAAAGAAAAUGCAACACAUUCAUUUUGUAUUUUCAACAUAUAUGAAUAGAGGCUCUUGACUAUACAGAAAUAUUGUAGUUUGAUAAGACCUGAAUUAUUAAAACAUAUUCACUCCGAUUUUCAAAAGGAAUAUUUUAGACUUUAGUCACUGAAAUGUAUCUUGGUACAUCCUGAAGACUGGUUAGGACUAACACUAACCGAAAGAAAGAAGUUCCUCAUAACUACCUUUAAAUAAGGGAUCCAGUUGUCUCUCUUUUUCAAAGCCUUGGCUGGAUCUAGCAUGCCCCAGUUCUCUGACUGAGAAACCUCUGCAUCAUAAAGUGGAAAAAUUCUCAUUGUCUGCUGUUUUGAGAAGAUGUUGAUAAAUUUUUGGAGAACCUAAAACACAAAAGGAGAUGCUACUGUUAUAAAUUUCCUACGAUGGAUAUGAAAACCCAGAGUAAAGUAAUACUGCAUAUUAUCUACAAAAUACUAAAAAAAAUGGAGUGGUAAAGGAACAAAAGAGACAUUCUGGUCCUGUGUUGUCCUUCUUUUCCAGCAGACACAGUGAAAGUCCCUGCUGUUAAUUCUGAUGACUCCAAAAAGAAGACCAGUAUUUUCUAAACCACUGUCCUUCAACCAAAGUCAAUAGUAAAUUUCUUAUCACAGGCUUUGUCAAGAAUAGCAUUAGCCUAGAAGGCGUACUUUGAAAAUCCUGUUCAAAAAUUAAGAAGCCACCGCCAGCCUACAGUACAGGUAAUGUACAUCACUGCCUCCUUGUGUAAACAAGUGUGUCUGUGCUUAUCUCUGACAGCUCAGGGAGUUCAGCUGAACUACUCAAAUGUUAAUUUGAGGAAAGGUUUACAGACCAGUUUAUGCAACCAAACUUUCCUCCUUUUCGGCUGCACUCAUACAAGGUGCAGUUUGUAAGGCAAACCAAGCAUUUAAAAGCAGGAUGUUAUUUCUGUUUAAGAGUUACGCAUCUGUUUUAGACCCUGGAAACACACUGGAGAUUUUCAGUUGGUUUUGUGUGUUAGAUGACAGAAAAAAAACAAAACUGAGAGUUUUCCUGCUGGUGUCCCCUGAGCUGUGGAAGCUGGCAAGGUCCUGGGCAAUGGUGUGUUGCAGCCGACCUCUAGUGGAAGUACCACAGCUCAGGGAGUCACCAAACAAGGGCAGGAAAACCAGAGAAAAUGCACAAAAACCACAGAAACAUGAGUGAGAGCUAAGAGAACAAAGGUACGGCCUCAGAGCCAUGAUACUGAAAAUGUGAAUGUCAGCCACUACUAGAGGUUAGUGGGAGUGAGCUGAACUUUUUACUUCUGCUUUCUGUCAAGAGCAAAAAUGCCACAAUCUCAUUUUCGUGAUACAAAACACUAACUUGUAAUAAAUGGAAAUUUCUUCUAUGCUUAUAAAGAUUUUUUGUUGUUGGUUUGGUUUUUUUUAGCACCGAGAGGUGCAUUUCACUUACCAGGGAAAAGAGGUCCAUCUCAUCAGCUGAGUUAUUGAGAUUCUUAAGGUUAUGGUCAAUACCAAAGUGAGAAAGCAGAAGCUGGAGCUGAGGUUUCAGCUCCUGGGUUUUAGUGCUGUGACAGGGCAAAGUGUGUCCUUGGGGCAGGACUCUGCAAAAAGCCAUAAUCAGACCAUCUGGAGAACAUCAACACUUCAAGCAACGUGAGCAUAAUAUGUCUAAGUAAGCAGUGCCAUCAGUGUCCUUUGCUUUGUAUCCACACAAUGAUGUAAUUUCCUUUUAUUUAAUCCUGAAGCUGAAGUAUGUCAGAGAAUGGAAUGUGAUGGUGGGGGAAACCCACAUUGUGUGGAUUUUUAUUAUUUUCAUAUCUCUUUUAAGAAAGGGCCUUCUGCCAGACCCCAGAAGACGAGCAGCUAUUAGCGGUUUGAGGCACCUCCAUAGUUCUUGGAGGAGUGCCUAUCUUCUAGCAUGGAAAGGACGCCAGCUAACAAAUCCUUCUGCCUGAACAGAGUGCUGGCUCAGGAGCAUACAACAUUCUUCUCACACACACCUCCCAGAUCUUCACAUGCCAUAAGAACUUUAAGUAUGUUACUAUUUCAGAGUUAUCACUCUCUGGUAUCUGAUUCUGGCAUGAUGCUGCUAUUGCAAACUUCUGAAACAAGGGUGUGCUUGGGAUGGCUGAGUUUGGCCUGGUAUCAGUGUUGGAGAGUCUAUUGGCAACACAGCACACAUUUUUAGAAGAACUGAAAUGUUUUCUCCUUCUUCACAUAGUCUCAGGCUUGCUCUUGGCUUUGAAGGAUACCAGUAUUCCUUCAUCACCGAAGACCAAAAACUACUGUGUUCCUGUCAAACCAUAACAAACAGCAGCACUUUUUCUGCUACUUCUUAUCCAAAGACUUUUGAAAGCCUAAAGUAUCAACUGAUUCUCCUUUACCCUGUAUUGGCGAGUACUGCUGAUACAUGCAAAGAUCCUAACAGCAAAUUCUUGGUACGUGUAUGCAUUCCCUGGAGUAUCCUGUUGUCCUCUAUUUCUGCCUUCAGCUCUGUCAGCUGUGCUGGUAGUUCUUGUUCCAGCUGCCGGGCCUUCUCAGUAGAAGCCAUUUUGCCUACUUGAGUUUGACAGACUAAAAGACAAAGCAGUCAAGAUGCAGCUCCUUUCUAAAGAGCAAAUCACUUGUGAACUCUGGACCUGGAGAUCUGUGCACGCAAAAAGUACAAAUUUCCACUGCUAUAUAGGCAAUAUCAACUUCAUUAAAUAAUUGUUUAUGCUCAGCAUCUCCUUUAACAAGAAGACUUUUAAUAUCAGGAACAGAACUGGGUAAAUGUGAUUUUUCCCAGUUUGAUCAGCAGCCUGAGGAAAACAGCAGAAAAACUGGGUCUCCUGCAUUGCACUACCAAAUGCCGUCUCCUCCCUCCUUCACUUAGUUUCUUAAUGACACCUGAGAAAGUUUAGGUAAUUAAACAUUAAAUUUGAUGUGUUGAAUAAAACA